UACGUAGGGUGCAAGCGUUGUCCGGAAUUAUUGGGCGUAAAGAGCUCGUAGGCGGUUUGUCGCGUCUGCUGUGAAAUCCCGAGGCUCAACCUCGGGCCUGCAGUGGGUACGGGCAGACUAGAGUGCGGUAGGGGAGAUUGGAAUUCCUGGUGUAGCGGUGAAAUGCGCAGAUAUCGGGAAGAACACCCGUGGCGAAGGCGGUUCUCUGGGACGGUACUGACGCUGAGACGCGAAAGCGUGGGGAGCGAACAGG
rnacentral:rRNA from 1 species